UACGUAGGGGGCAAGCGUUAUCCGGAUUUACUGGGUGUAAAGGGAGCGUAGGCGGCAGUGCAAGUCAGAAGUGAAAGCCCGGGGCUCAACUCCGGGACUGCUUUUGAAACUGUACAGCUUGAUUGCAGGAGAGGCAAGUGGAAUUCCUAGUGUAGCGGUGAAAUGCGUAGAUAUUAGGAGGAACACCAGUGGCGAAGGCGGAUGACUGGACGGCAACUGACGGUGAGGCGCGAAAGCGUGGGGAGCAAACAGG
rnacentral:rRNA from 1 species